ACUAUGACGCUGGCGGCGUGCCUAUACAUGCAAGUCGAGCGGACAGAUGGGAGCUUGCUCCCGGAUGUUAGCGGCGGACGGGUGAGUAACACGUGGGUAACCUGCCUGUAAGACUGGGAUAACUCCGGGAAACCGGAGCUAAUACCGGAUAGUUCCUUGCCCCGCAUGGUGCAAAGAUGAAAGACGGUUUCGGCUGUCACUUACAGAUGGACCCGCGGCGCAUUAGCUAGUUGGUGAGGUAACGGCUCACCAAGGCAACGAUGCGUAGCCGACCUGAGAGGGUGAUCGGCCACACUGGGACUGAGACACGGCCCAGACUCCUACGGGAGGCAGCAGUAGGGAAUCUUCCGCAAUGGACGAAAGUCUGACGGAGCAACGCCGCGUGAGUGAUGAAGGUUUUCGGAUCGUAAAGCUCUGUUGUUAGGGAAGAACAAGUGCCAGAGUAACUGCUCGCACCUUGACGGUACCUAACCAAAAAAGCCACGGCUAACUACGUGCCACAGCCGCGGUAAUACUUAGGUGGCAAGCGUUGUCCGGAAUUAUUGCGCGUAAAGGGCGCGCACGCGUUUCUUAAGUCUGAUGUGAAACCCCCCGGCUCACCCGGGAGGGUCAUUGGAACUGGGAAACCUUGAGCGC
rnacentral:rRNA from 1 species